CAGCCAAAUCAUAUUGAAACACCUGUUCACAUAUGAUCACUGAAGUUAAGCAAUGUCAAGCCUAGUCAGUACCAAGAUGGGUGGCAACUUGGGAAUACCAGGUGCUGUAAG